rnacentral:rRNA from 1 species
UACGGAGGGUGCGAGCGUUGUCCGGAAUCACUGGGCGUAAGGGCGCGUAGGUGGCCUGUGGAAGUCUGCGGUGAAAGCCCGGCGCUCAACGCCGGGUCGGCCGUGGAUACUCUCGGGCUCGAGCUUACUAGAGGCAGAUGGAAUUCCGGGUGUAGCGGUGGAAUGCGUAGAGAUCCGGAAGAACACCGGUGGCGAAGGCGGUCUGCUGGGGUAAUGCUGACACUGAUGCGCGACAGCGUGGGGAGCAAACAGG